rnacentral:rRNA from 1 species
AGUGAACGCUGGCGGUAGGCCUAACACAUGCAAGUCGAACGGCAGCACAGUAAGAGCUUGCUCUUACGGGUGGCGAGUGGCGGACGGGUGAGGAAUACAUCGGACUCUACUUUUUCGUGGGGGAUAACGUAGGGAAACUUACGCUAAUACCGCAUACGACCUACGGGUGAAAGCAGGGGAUCUUCGGACCUUGCGGGAUUGAAUGCGCCGAUGUCGGAUUAGCUAGUUGGCGGGGUAAAGGCCCACCAAGGCGACGAUCCGUAGCUGGUCUGAGAGGAUGAUCGGCCGCACUGGAACUGAGACACGGUCCAGACGCCUACGGGAGGCAGCAGUGGGGAAUAUUGGACAAUGGGCGCAAGCCUGAUCCAGCCAUACCGCGUGGGUGAAGAAGGCCUUCGGGUUGUAAAGCCCUUUUGUUGGGAAAGAAAAGCAGCAGGUUAAUACCCCGCUGUUCUGACGGUACCCAAAGAAUAAGCACCGGCUAACUUCGUG